rnacentral:SRP_RNA from 1 species
UCGUGCUAGAUGGGGAGCUAGCGGUGCCCUGACCCCGCCUUUCGGCGGGCAACCCGCAAUCCGCUCUAGCGGGGUCCAACUCCCUUCUCGAGGCACGCGCGUUUCGGGACUGGACGGUCCAAGUGGCGAUGAAGGUUGGGUCCGACGCGGCGGAAGCCGAUAAAACCCGCUAGGGCCGGAAGGCAGCAACGGUAAGUCGUCACUUCUGGGUGCCGUCGGGUUACCUGGCUGGAGCCGGCUGUUCCGUUCAAGCCGGGGCGCACGUUUCGACAGAAGGGUGCACGA